GUGGAGUGAGGUGAUCCAUUUUGAACUAGCUGUAGUUUUUCUUACAUGUAUGUAGUAUAAAGGGAAUGAAAUAUAAUCAGAACGACUAGUAAUAAAAGUAUUUCAGCAUCAUCAAAAAAAGGUCUGAAAAGGCUGUUUGAAUUCAAAUGAGAAUUCAAAUUUAAAUAAGAAUCUACUGAAUGUAAAUGUUUCUGUCUAUAUGUGGUUAUAAUUAUGCCAUCAUUGUUUAUUGGCUGCAGUUGGAUUCCAGUAAAAAUGAAACAGUUUGAUACUUUUAGUUCUGUUCCUCUUAUCACACGAGAUGGACGACAGGAGCUGUGCUGCAGUCUUACUUUGGGCCACGUCGCUCAUUUACUCCUUUAUUAUCUCUCGCUGUUUUAAAUAAACUCAACUGAAGGUAUUUGACUGUUCAAAUAAGAGUGGUGCCACUCUGAAGGCUUGGCCGGGGUCUCGCUCUCCUUUAUAAAAAAACAGCUCUUUCUGUGUUCACCGCACCGUCUCUCUCUGACACCAGGAAGAAAACCGAGGAAGAACUUCAGAGCUCAGACAUCCGACAAAGCAGAUGGCUGGACUGUGGUGGAUGACUGUGACGCUGGUAUUCCUGCUGUCUGCUGGAAGUGUUCUGGCUGACGCUAACAAGGAGAAAGAAACAGUAGACUUGAUGAAGGUGUUGAUGAGAGAACACAUAAAAGAUAAGGCUGCAAGCAAUAAGGACCCUCAACAUCCUCACAAUGGUGCAGCUGCUCCGGCCUGAUGGUCCCAGUCUCUCUCUCUGUAAAGGGGGCAGAAAGCUUCAAAGUGCUUUGAGUCACAUUUGAUUAAAAAUGAAAUAAAAAGUUGAAUUGCUUCCUUUUGACUGCUUUUGAAUUAUUCUGUUGACCUGCUGUUAAAAACAGACAAGCCCUGCUAUUGGAGUUGUGUUUGUAAUGGUUUUAAGUCCAAUAUUCAUCAGCUGCUGUAGAUGUUCCAGAGUCUCUAACUGUGUCUGUGCUGUUUGCUGCUGCGGCGCGUCAGCGACCAAACCAAAAAUCUGAGCUGAGCUGCAGAAGUGAUAACAUUGAGCAUAUUUAGAUAUUCUGGAAUAUCUAAUGAGGUAGAAGGAGUAGAUAGGAGAGCAAGUGGGUCGAUGGGAGUUUGGGUCACAAAUACAUUUUCACAAAUACAUUUGCUGAACUUCUUCCUCCAGCUAAAUGCACUAAUUUUACUUCAUUUAUAAAAUAUUUAAAAUGUGUUAUUGUUUUAUGAUGAUGAAGUUCUUAUUCAUCAAACGUAUAUCUCUUCAAUAUGGCAGCUUUUGUUAAAAUGUGACGUGAUGCAUAGAUUUGCUCUUCUCGCUCUGAGUUUGUCUUUUUAAAAAGUGGAUCCCCACAAAAAAAGGGUGCACUGGAAUAGAUGACUUUAAGGAUUUUAAUGUGGAGAUUAUACUUUCAGAAAACACAUAUCAGACACACGUUAUUGUUCCAAGCUGAUCAUAUGUGUCUUUCCUGGAUCUUUAAACAUGUGAAGCUAGAUUAAAUGAUGAUAAAUAUUGUUUCAAUAAUUAAGUGAGGAGCAAGAAUGGAGGAGAUCAGAGCUUAAUACAGCUUAAUCUACCAAUUACUUUCUUGAUUAAUUGAUCGCCUGUAUGAUAUUGAUCGUUGUAAAAUCAUAAUAUCCAACAGCAACAUCUUCAAAUGUCUUCUUCAGUCUGACCAACAAUAUAAAACUUGUGCCUGGAGAAGAGGCUAUACUCUUAAUUUCUGCCCCAAUAUUUUUUAAGUCACCUGUCCAGCAAAGGACAAACACCCUUUUGUUACUAUCAGUAUGACAUUAACAUUAGCCAGAGGUGAGAGAUGCGAGAGAACCUUCAUAAUGAGGCAUUCAGUGAACUAUUCCUUAUUCCUUAAUCCAUGAGAAUUGUUAGGGGGAAAUCCUAGGGGGGAAAGGAGUUCUGCGUGCAGAACACUACUGAAUGAUGGAGGGGUAUUUAGAAGUAGGUAUACACCGGGUACCUGAGUAUACCUGAGUAUCGACUGAUCAAUUAAUUGCAGCUGCAGUAGAUAAUGAAUAUUGUUAGGACUUUUAGCUUUUUAUAAAGAGAAAAACAAAGAGUUUAAACUCGUGAUAAAAGAUCCCUUUCAGACACAUUUUAG
rnacentral:lncRNA from 15 species